GUUAAUGUAGCUUAUUAUAAAGCAAAGCACUGAAAAUGCUUAGAUGAGUAUUUAUUACUCCAUAAACA
rnacentral:tRNA from 1 species